CUUACCGUCCUGCACUGAAGGUUUCCCUUUCGUUCAAAAAUAUCGGCCGACAAUUGUAUCCACUGGACAAUAUCAUUAGGGCCAUGUUGAGCGUACAACUACCAGCUGGAUCUCACAGCUAAUGAAAUUCCACUAAAGCGAUGCUAACGGCAGCUUCACUCUGCCACUCUCACUAUGCCAAUUACGCGUAAUUAGCUGGCUUUCAAACAUAACGAAGAUCCCAUACGCUGUGUGUCUAGUAUGUAUGUCGUCAACUCGUCUCGGGUAGACAGCACAGUUUACCAGAGACUUUAUUUUACCAUGUACGACUAUUAUUAUACAUACAUAUGUAUGUACACGGGGAGAGGCAAGUAAGAGACGUCAGUUCGGAUGAAGAGAGUAAAGGAUGCUCAGGUAAAUAUCUUUGAAGAAUUUAUGAAUAAACGCCAUCGCUCUUUGUAACUUAAUUGUCAAUCGGCAGAUACGUGGAUGGUUUAAUAAGCAACUGAAUCUAGGCUACGGGGACCUUCGGCUGAUUAAUAUAUACGCCCUCUGCAAGGUAGUCGCAACGAGUGUCGAUUUACUGGACGCAGUCGCGGGUCAAAUUCACUCAAUCACUUAUUGGAACUGGAAGUUGCAUCGGUAUCAGGACAGACCACACUGACCACCACACAGACUUUACUAGGAAGCUCAGAAUGUCAUUGGACAUGAGUCUUCGAUCCAGGACGGUUGGACGAUACGAUUUCUGAAAGGCAGAGAUCUCAUCCGUGGAAACUCCCACUUCACUACUUCAUUAGAUUGGCUAAAAUUCUCACGACUCUCCCAGCAAUCCGCGCUGCGUCCUUCUGUCCAUAUAGGAUUACGUUAAGCCCGCGAGAGACCAACUUCCGAGAGGAGAGGACGAGCGAGCGACAGGAACGUCGGGGCCGAGGAGGUCAGGAGAGGAACGACGGGAGGAGGAACAUGGAGGGGAAGUUAUAUGCUAGCGAGGAGUGGAGACAGAAGAGAGAGAGAGAGAGAGAAAGAGAGAGAGAGAGAGAUGAGAGAUGCCAGAGAGGUAAUGGUAAUUCCUGGCUGGGACUUGGGAGUCUCCGAGAGGUUUCCCACCUUUUACGGUUUCCCUCCUCCAACGAGUCGACCGACCGAGCCCAACGUCCGCUCGUUCGCUCCUCCGUCACUCGCAGGGGAUGAUGCGUCCGUCCGGUAUACUAUACCCAUAAGUAUAUAUAUAUUUUGAUAUACCACAGGGAAGUAUCUUCUGACCUUGCUGGCUAAAACCUUCUGAAUUAUUAGCACGCAAGUCGCUCUGCCGAUUAUUACAUUAUUAAAUGGAAUAAGGAUGGUUGGUUACUUGGAAAGCUUGGUCGCAAUCAAUACUGACUCCUGGAAUGUUCUAGAAGGACUGGAAGAAUAAUAGAAACGAGAUGCGAAUAAGAUUUCGUAAACUGAUCGUGAGUCUGAGUAAUUUUCAUAGAAUGAUAAAUUGUUAUUUACUUGACACGUAUAACAGCACGGUGACAAGUUAAUCUGUUAAGGAUUACGUGUUGGUUAUAGUCAUGAAAGUUUUUAUAGCCGGUCGUUACACACUUUCUUAGUGUAAUGACUGAAAAUGAAAGUCUUCGUCGAAAAUAUGUUCCCGUUCUUCGUAUUUGUGGACAUCACCAGCCUCGUGUGUUUUCGUAUAGCGUCAAGGUACGCGUCACGAACACUCUUACGAGGUCAAUGUCAGCAAAUUCUUACGUGGCGCGUAACCGCCGUACCGUUUACGCGGAGUCUCUAACCUCAAGACUAAGAAUCCUUCGAUCCUCCGCGAGGUCAAGGUCGGGUUCUACUAUCCGCCUAACCUCACACGUAGAACAAUCUUAACCGUGGCAUCGCAUCAGACUAAAAUCUACCAAUGAUCAAACCAAGCAACCAACUACGCACAUAUGACUUCGACUGAUCCUGAAGUCAAGAUCCAGAGGAAGAAGACCACUGACCGAACGCCAAUUAAAGGAGGAAUAUCAAGACUGUCAGAAAUAACGAAGACAGCCGGUACCCUCGUUAGUACGUUAUAUGCGAUAAAAAAGAAACGAAUGCAAACUGAAGCCAUGGAUAUUAUUAAAAAGUGACGCGGAUGAUAUGCCUAAUGGGAAAUUAGAGGUACCAAGACUCAGGAGGAGGAUGCACAGUCUGCCGAUCUCUUCAUCCGAUUAACUCCCACCUACGACUGACUGCCCCGUAUUCUCUCUCUCCAACCCAGUCUCACUCUCCUCCCCUGGCCAACGUGCUCUCGCCUUUGUCUCACUCCUCCUUCACUUCCCUCUCUAUCCUCCCAUCCUUCUUUGCACCUUACCCCACCAACCCAUCUCCCACUAGCAGUCCACCGAGAAGCUUGGCCGUCUGUAAUUCCGUGGCUGACGCCACAUCGUCCUGACCUCACUUCGGUAUUCAGAACAGCCCUAAUUAGUCGUCAGCGACGACUGCGUGUACUCUGUCUACCCUCCUGGAAACGAAUAUGGGUCCCACAGCCAGAAGAGAACAUGCAGCAAGCUGAACCCAAUAGUAUGUCGGCCCAGAAUACCCAGCUACUCAAUUAGUAAUUAAGAUACCAACAAAACGACAGAGGGUGACAAUUUACAUCAAGUUACAGGAUGAAAAAAAAUGGAAGAGCAAGAAAAAAUUUCCUCAAACUCAUACCUCAAGUAUUAUGCAAACGCGCCGUCGUGAUCAGCGUGCAGAUAUGAAAUUCCACGAAGCAAGCAGAACAGCCAUACGUAUUCCAUGCCAAGAAAUCAACACAGAAAAGCCGUAACACAAAUAACAAACACAAAUGGCGAUUACCCAUAAAUCCCAUGCGGAAGAUCAUUUGGACAACGUAGCAGGGGAAUCCCCUCAAGCUCUUCUUCAGAUAGAUUCGUGCAUCCCCGUCAAGGUCACGUACAGCCUCGUACUACCGUAUAUCGAUCUUGUUUCAUUAUAUCAGAAUUCUACCAAGAGAUCAAUGAUCUACGGAUAACGAAGAUAUUCAUCGUAGAUCGUGCCGAUCGAGGAUCCAAUGGCUUUUCCAUCCAGCGUUAGACGUAACGAGCGUUUCCCGUGGUUGGCCGUCCGUUUGGCGGGUAUCCGUGGCAGGUGGUGUACCAUACGUAGGUACAUAUCGUAGUGCGGACGAUGCAGGUGAUACAGAUAGAAAGAACCCAGGAGGGUGCUCCGAGGUGCGUUGCGCCGCGUUUCUCUUGCGUUACGUUACGUUAGCCUGUGCGUGCGUACGCUCGGACGUUUGGAUCUACGGACGGAGGGAUGCGUGGACUUGUAUAGUGUGUAUGUAUAUUAUAUAGUACGUUCAUGCAUAAGGAUACACGUGGUUGUACCAUACGCACAGAGGGAUAGACACUGUACCUUCGAUACCCAUGUGUAUGGAUGUAGGUGCAUCCAUAGGGCCCCGUACGCACGAGGGGACAGACCGACAGAGAUAGAGGGCCACUUCCGGACAAAAGGGGAGACCGUGGUUCGCGUAUCUGUUGCCGCUGGCAAGGAGAACUAGGAGAACCCGCGGGAGAGUCACACUCGAGUGCCCACGCUUCCUCUUUUACCUUCCUCUCGCUCUUCCACCUUGAAACUACUCCUUUACUCCCUCUUCUUCUUGUUCUUAUGCGCUGGUACCCUUUUAGGUACUCCUCUUGUGACUUUAAGCCUGAUCCAUUCGUUACCGGUUUUUAGUAUUUAGUCUUUGGGUAUUAUAUUUUAUUUUCAAUUACUGCUAAAACUUACUGUUUUUUGAUUUUUUGGCAGACUGUGCUAGGGAGUAGUUGGGGGAUUUAUUUUUAUUUGUAAGUGGAGUUCACGGUGGAUGUAAUUUUUGGAUAUUGGAUUUUGGACUUUUUCAGGGAUUCAUGGGGCACGUGUUAUGUGAGAUUGGAGGACGAGUGAAUUUUUAGGAUAAUUUUUAAGGGUUAGAUAGCUGCGUUAGUUUAAGAUUUGAUUAGGAUUGUAAUGGAAUGUAUGCGUGUAAGAUACUGUACUUGUGACUAUGGUGGAGCUAAAAGUCUCACGAGCUGCUGAGGAAAUGUUGGGGUUGUGUAACGUUAAGAGAAUCGUGUCUCACAGUGGUCUUAUGCACUCUUGAAAAUGCAUUUUAGUGUCUCGAGGGAAGUCUGGUUCAAUGGAGUCAAUAGCGAAUAGGGCAGUGAUCGAUUGAAUUUAAUUUGCAUAUAUCAGAAUUAUUUGUUUGAUUAAUUUGACCAAAACUAUGUUUUAGAGGAAGUCGCGUAUUUCGAAUGAUUAAGAAUUUAGUAAGAAUCACUGUAAAUUGGGAUUAAAAUAACGUAGAAUAAGAUUUUAUACAGACAACUUCCAUGUACGAUUGAGUAAACUAA